AAAACUUUCAACAACGGAUCUCUUGGUUCUGGCAUCGAUGAAGAACGCAGCGAAAUGCGAUAAGUAAUGUGAAUUGCAGAAUUCAGUGAAUCAUCGAAUCUUUGAACGCACAUUGCGCCCCUUGGUAUUCCGAGGGGCAUGCCUGUUCGAGCGUCAUAU
rnacentral:rRNA from 5 species